GGGGAAUAUUGGACAAUGGGGGCAACCCUGAUCCAGCCAUGCCGCGUGAAUGAUGAAGGCCUUCGGGUUGUAAAAUUCUUUUGGUGGGGACGAUGAUGACGGUACCCACAGAAUAAGCUCCGGCUAACUUCGUGCCAGCAGCCGCGGUAAUACGAAGGGGGCUAGCGUUGUUCGGAAUUACUGGGCGUAAAGGGCGCGUAGGCGGCUUGAUAAGUUGGAUGUGAAAUCCCAGGGCUCAACCCUGGAAUUGCAUUCAAGACUAUCUUGCUUGAAUUCGGUAGAGGUUGGUGGAAUUCCCAGUGUAGAGGUGAAAUUCGUAGAGAUUGGGAAGAAUAUCCGUGGCGAAGGCGGCCAACUGGACCGACAUUGACGCUGAGGCGCGAAAGCGUGGGGAGCAAAC
rnacentral:rRNA from 1 species